rnacentral:tRNA from 1 species
UAGCCUAGUGAUUAAGGCUAUGGAUUGCCAAUCCGGAGACGGCGGGUUCAAUUCCCGU